AGCAACACCGCGUGAGUGAAGAAGGGUUUCGGCAUCGUAAAGCUCUGUUGUUAGGAGAAGAACAGUGCGUGAGAGUAACUGUUCACAGCAGUGACGGUAUCCAACCAGAAAGUCACGGCUAACUACGUGCCAGCAGCCGCGGUAAUACGUAGGUGGCAAGCGUUAUCCGGAUUUAUUGGGCGUAAAGCGAGCGCAGGCGGUUUUUUAAGUCUGAUGUGAAAGCCUUCGGCUUAACCGAAGAAGUGCAUCGGAAACUGGGCGACUUGAGUGCAGAAGAGGGCAGUGGAACUCCAUGUGUAGCGGUGGAAUGCGUAGAUAUAUGGAAGAA
rnacentral:rRNA from 1 species